GCGAGGAAUCUUGCGCAAUGGGCGAAAGCCUGACGCAGCAACGCCGCGUGGGGGAAGAAGGCUUUCGAGUCGUAAACCCCUUUUGCAGGGGAAGAAGCUCUGACGGUACCCUGCGAAUAAGCCACGGCUAACUACGUGCCAGCAGCCGCGGUAAUACGUAGGUGGCAAGCGUUGUUCGGAUUUAUUGGGCGUAAAGGGCGUGUAGGUGGUCCAUUAAGUUCGGGGUGAAAUCUCCCGGCUCAACUGGGAGGGGUCCCCGGAUACUGAUGGGCUAGAGGGGGGCAGAGGAAGGUGGAAUUCCCGGUGUAGCGGUGAAAUGCGUAGAUACCGGGAGGAACACCGGUGGCGAAGGCGGCCUUCUGGGCCUACCCUGACGCUGAGGCGCGAAAGCGUGGGGAGCAAACCGGAUUAGAUACCCUAGUAGUCC
rnacentral:rRNA from 1 species